rnacentral:misc_RNA from 1 species
GGGCUUGGGGAGGGCAGG